rnacentral:rRNA from 1 species
AGGCAGCAGUGAGGAAUAUUGGUCAAUGGAGGAACUCUGAACCAGCCAUCCCGCGUGUAGGAAGACGGCCUUAUGGGUUGUAAACUACUUUUAUACAGGAAGAAACGUACCCUCGUGACGGGUGCCUGACGGUACUGUAGGAAUAAGCACCGGCUAACUCCGUGCCAGCAGCCGCGGUAAUACGGAGGGUGCGAGCGUUAUCCGGAUUUAUUGGGUUUAAAGGGUCCGUAGGCGGAUUAAUAAGUCAGUGGUGAAAUCCCAUCGCUUAACGAUGGAACUGCCAUUGAUACUGUUAGUCUUGAAUGAGGGUGCAGUGGUUGGAAUGUGUAGUGUAGCGGUGAAAUGCAUAGAUAUUACACAGAACACCGAUUGCGAAGGCAGAUCACUAACCCUAAAUUGACGCUGAGGGACGAAAGCGUGGGGAGCGAACAGGAUUAGAUACCCUGGUAG